UUGGAGGGCAAGUCUGGUGCCAGCAGCCGCGGUAAUUCCAGCUCCAAUAGCGUAUAUUAAAGUUGUUGCGGUUAAAAAGCUCGUAGUUGAAUUUCGGGAUCAAUUUAUCGGUCGUGCCUACGGUAUGAACUGGUACAAUUGGUUUCUCCCUUCUGACGAAGCAUGAUGUCAUUAAUUUGGUGUCGUGGGGAAUCAGGACUGUUACUUUGAAAAAAUUAGAGUGUUUAAAGCAAGCAUUAGCUUGAAUACAUUAGCAUGGAAUAAUGAAAUAGGACGUUUGAUCCUAUUUCGUUGGUUUCUAGGAUCGACGUAAUGAUUAAUAGGGAUAGUUGGGGGCAUUAGUAUUCAAUUGUCAGAGGUGAAAUUCUUGGAUUUAUUGAAGACUAACUACUGCGAAAGCAUUUGCCAAGGAUGCUUUCAUUAAUCAAGAACGAAAGUUAGGGGAUCGAAGGCGAUCAGAUACCGUCGUAGUCUUAACCAUAAACUAUGCCGACUAGGGAUCGGAUGAUGUUAAUUUUUUAAUGACUCAUUCGGCGCCUUACGGGAAAC
rnacentral:rRNA from 1 species